CGUCUGGCAGUAGUUGCUGCUUGUCAUCUAUCCUUGCCUAACCUCACAGCUACCCAAAUGUCCAGCCCCGCCUACCUGCACGGUUCUCGUCGACAGUUGUCUAUUUAACUUUGUUGCAUAUAAUCCCUCCCCUGCCAUCAACAUCAGUCUUUUUUCCUCCUUGAUGGCCAGGUGGUGGACAACUGCACGCCGCCUGAGGACAUCACUGGCGCGGUGCCCACGUCAC
rnacentral:lncRNA from 1 species